UGUCUACUCCCUCCGUUCGAAAUUACUUGUCUCGAAAAUGGAUGUAUCUAGAACUAAAAUACAUCUAGAUACAUUCAUUUCUACGACAAGUAAUUCCGAACGGAGGGAGUACAAG
rnacentral:pre_miRNA from 1 species